rnacentral:lncRNA from 1 species
GAGAUUCUGGAAUUCCUAUGAAAAUGGGAUCUCUAAGAAAGAUUCCUAACAACUGGCUUUGGAGACGAGUAAGUGUGUAUUUUCACCUUUAAGUCCAUGAGCUGCAGGGAGCCACUUCAUGGGAGGAUUUUGAUGACAUUUUACUUUGUGCAUGCUCAUUUUAACUGUAUGACAUUAAAACAGCAAUUACACAUAUCAAAAGAGAGAACGGAUAGCACUGGGGACCAAAAGGCUCACUUUCCCACAAAUAGUCCCUUCUUCUGGAUUUCAUGGGUACCCAUUAGUACCAGAAUUUCCUGGGUUUGGCUAUGGAAAGUUUCAAGUAUAUAUUACAUAUAUAUUAUAAGAUGAGGACAACUUGAAGCCACUACCUGUCGUCAGUGUGUAAGGAGGGAGGUAGUUUUUCUUGGGAGGGUGGAGGUGGGAGGUAGCCCAGGGAAAGGCAUGAAGGGCAACAGGCUGGGAGGAGGGAGGAAGUGCAGUCAGCCUUGGAACCUUAGACAGACUGAGUGCUGCAUCUGGGCACAGGCGGUCAGCCUGCACUGACUCCUGAAGGCAAAGCAAGGGAGGGGAGAAGCAUGUGGCUAAACAGAGAAGGGGAGGAUUCUAGCCAGAACACACUGUUUGCUUUUAUAAAUGCCAGGGGUGGUGCAUUGGUAAGCACCCUGCACAGAAGAAUGGGGUGGGAGGGCUGGAGGAAUACCUGGUCCAGUCCAUCCAGGAGUCCUCCCAUACCUGCAUUCCCUGCCCAUGAUGCGAUUUGAUGCUCAGCCUACAUCAAAUAACACUAUGUGCUGAAUGGGAAAUGAGAGGAAAAUACGAGGAGGCCUUAUUAUUCUUCACAAUUUUGCCUAUGUCCAAUUCCAUUCAGCAUGAUUGCUUUUGGUGCCCAGAGAAGCUGAGUUUCUAUCAAAAACAUGUAUAUAUAGGUGAGUGUAUCUGUGUGUUUGUACAUGUAUGUAUAUGUGUGUGUAUACAUGUAUAUAUAAGUAUAUGAAGAUGGUGGUGUUCCUGCUGGCAUCCUAUGGCCAACUUGACUUCAGAGUACCCAGGGGAAGGCCUGGCUGGCCGGAUGCCCUUGCAGAUGUCAGCUCCAGUGUGGACAUGGUGCAAUGACAGCCAGGGGUGUGGGAGCAUCCUGAAUGUGUCCCGUGGGAGGGCAGGGCCUCUGAAAGGGUCCUACUCAGGAUAUGUCUCCUGAAAGCCACCAGGGGGUGGAGAGAGAAGUAGGAGCCCAACAAUGGCUCCAUCCCUGCUCUGCUUUUGGCGGUUGUAUAACAUCCCUGAGUCCCAGAUUAUUUGUCUAUCAAAAGGACAAAUGAGGUGGCUCAUGCCUGUAAUCCCAUCACUUUGGGAGGCCAAGGUGGGCAGAUCAUUUGAGGCCAGGAGUUCGAGACCAGCCUGGCCAACAUGGUGAAACCCCAUCUCUACUAAAAAUACAGAAAUUAGCCAGGUGUGGUGGUGCAUACCUGUAAUCCCAGCUACUCAGGAGGCUGAGGCAGAAGAAUCUCUUGAACUUGGGAGGUGGAGGUUUCAGUGAGCCAAGAUCACACCACUGCACUCCAGCCUGGGCAGCAGAGUAAGACUCCAUCUAAAAAAAAAAAGAGAUAACAAUAUCCCCUUUGCAGAAUGGUGAUGGGCAUCAGACAUGACAUAUGUAACAUGUCCCAUGCACGGAAGGGUGCUCCAUGACUGCAAACCUGGAUGAUGAUGACAACGACGAUGGAGAUGACUAAGACUGUAUUUAAAAAUGGAAUUGCUGUUGUUUCCUGGCUUCCUGAUGGUCCUGUUUUUUACCUUCUGCUGCUUUUUACGGAUUUAUUUUUUCUUGACUGAUUCGUACCUUUUUGAGCAAUGGGAACCUUUGGUGGUGUAAAGCCU